rnacentral:tRNA from 1 species
GACCGGAUAGCUCAGUUGCGUAGAGUGUCGGCCCGACAUGCCGAAGGUCGCAGGUUCGAUUCCUGCUCCGGUCA